GUCGGGUGUGGUGGCACAUGCCUGUAAUCCUAGUGGCUUGGGAGGCUGAGGCAAGAGGAUCUCAUCAAAGCCAGCCUUAGCAACAGUAAGGCACUAAAGCAACUCAGUGAGACCCUGUCUCUA
rnacentral:sRNA from 1 species